GACAGAGGUGGCAAGCGUUGCUCGGAGUUACUGGGCAUAAAGGGCGCGUAGGCGGUCGUGCACGUCGAGGGUGAAAUCCCCGGGCUUAACCCGGGAACUGCCUUUGAUACGGCGCGACUCGAGUGCGGGAGGGGAGAGUGGAACUCCUGGUGGAGCGGUGAAAUGCGUAGAUAUCAGGAGGAACGCCGGUGGCGAAAGCGACUCUCUGGUCCGCAACUGACGCUGAGGCGCGAAAGCUAGGGGAGCAAACGGG
rnacentral:rRNA from 1 species